CCAGUCCAGUGCGCGUCGUCGUACUCGAUCUACCUGUUUAUAGUCAUCUAAUGUCCUGAUGUGAUAAAUGAACGAUCCCAUUAAAACACAUCGCGCAGCCAUGAUUACCAAAACUUCAUUAUAAACACGGUGUUUCAAUAGUAGUUUAAGUGAUGACUUCGAGUAAACGUGAAUGAAUUACACGCGGUUAAACAACCGGUUGAAAUAGGGAGGCUGCGUCUGCCCCGCGCCCGGCUGUAGUGGAAUGCGGCAAUUUUAACUACUGCGGACCUCGGGGCCCAUAUAAGCACUGGGAUUGAUCGGCUAUUUCAUACAAAAAUAAGGUAAUCCGAUCCAGAUUGGAAGA